GACGAACGCUGGCGGCGUGCUUAACACAUGCAAGUCGAACGGAAAGGCCCUGCUUGCAGGGUACUCGAGUGGCGAACGGGUGAGUAACACGUGGGUGAUCUGCCCUGCACUUCGGGAUAAGCCUGGGAAACUGGGUCUAAUACCGGAUAGGAGCCAUUUUUAGUGUGAUGGUUGGAAAGUUUUUUCGGUGUAGGAUGAGCUCGCGGCCUAUCAGCUUGUUGGUGGGGUAAUGGCCUAACAAGGCGGCGACGGGUAGCCGGACUGAGAGGGUGGACGGCCACAUGGGGACUGAGUAACGGCCCAGUUUCCUACGGGAGGCAGCAGUGGGGAAGAUUGCACAAUGAGCGGAAGCCUGAUGCAGCGACGCUGCGUGGGUGAUGACGGCCUUCGGGUUGUAAACAACUUUCGCUAGGGACGAAGCUUUUUGUGACGGUACCUAGAUAAGAAGCACCGGCUAACUACGUG
rnacentral:rRNA from 1 species